AACGAACGCUGGCGGCAUGCCUAACACAUGCAAGUCGAACGAAGCCUUCGGGCUUAGUGGCGCACGGGUGCGUAACACGUGGGAAUCUGCCCUUCGGUUCGGAAUAACAGUUAGAAAUGACUGCUAAUACCGGAUGAUGACGAAAGUCCAAAGAUUUAUCGCCGAAGGAUGAGCCCGCGUAGGAUUAGGUAGUUGGUAGGGUAAUGGCCUACCAAGCCGACGAUCCUUAGCUGGUCUGAGAGGAUGAUCAGCCACACUGGGACUGAGACACGGCCCAGACUCCUACGGGAGGCAGCAGUGGGGGAAUAUUGGACAAUGGGCGAAAGCCUGAUCCAGCAAUGCCGCGUGAGUGAUGAAGGCCUUAGGGUUGUAAAGCUCUUUUACCAGGGAUGAUAAUGACAGUACCUGGAGAAUAAGCUCCGGCUAACUCCGUG
rnacentral:rRNA from 1 species